rnacentral:rRNA from 1 species
UUCUGUUUGAUCCUGGCGGAGGUCACUGCUAUCGGGGUUCGACUAAGCCAUGCGAGUCGAGAGGGGUAAGCCCUCGGCGUACUGCUCAGUAACACGUGGAUAACCUACCCUACGGAGGAGGAUAAUCCCGGGAAACUGGGGAUAAUACUCCAUAGGUUAUGGAAGCUGGAAUGCUCUAUAAUCGAAAGCUCCGGCGCCGUAGGAUGGGUCUGCGGCCGAUUAGGUUGUUGUUGGGGUAACGGCCCAACAAGCCGAUAAUCGGUACUGUUUGUGGGAGCAAGAGCCCGGAGAUGGAUUCUGAGACAUGAAUCCAGGCCCUACGGGGCGCAGCAGGCGCGAAAACUUUACAAUGCGGGAAACCGUGAUAAGGGAACCCCGAGUGCCUGUAUAAACAGGCUGU